AAACCUACUUCCAUAAUACUUUGAGGAUUUUGUUGGCCCGGGUUUUGAGCCCGUGGCAUCCCAAAUCCGUAGCGAGCGGUGAACAACUACACUUUGAGAUCGAUGCCAGCAGCCGCAAUAAUUAAUCUCCAGUAGCGUAUACUAAAGUUGUUGCACUUAAAAAGCUCGUAUUUAGAUUUCUAUUUUGAAUGUCCGGUCCACUACCUCUGGGAGUGCGUACUAAUGAAUGUUUGAAAUAUUUUUUGUGAGGCUGCCUUCCUGCCAUUUAGUUGGUGGGUUGGUGGGCUUGCAUUCUUUACUGUGAAAAAAUUAGAGUAUUUAAAGCAGGCGUUUGUUCAUUUAAAUACAUUUGCAUGGAAUAAUAAGAUAAUUAUAUGAGGGUCUAUGUGUUGGUUGUACACAAGGUAAUGAUUAAUAGGGAUAGUUGGGGGUAUUCAUAUUUCAGCGUCAGAGGGAAAUUCUUAGAUCGCUGGAAGAUAAACUUAGGCGAAUACACUAACCAAGAAUGUUUUCAUUAAUUAACAUCGAAAGUUAGGUAAUCGAAGAUGAUUCAAUACCAUCGUAGCUCUAACCAUAAACUAUGCCGAUUACUAGGGAUUGAUUUUAGAUGACUUUGUCAGCACCGUAUGAGAAAUCCAAGUCUUUGAAUUCCGGGGGGAGUAUGGUCGUAAGACUGAAACUUAAAGGGAUUGACGGAAAGGCACCACCAGGAGUGGAGUCUGCGGCUUAAUUUGACUCAACACAAGAAAACCAGGUCCAGAGAGUGACAGAUUGAGAGCUCUUUUUUUGAUUUUAUGGUGGUGGUGCAUGGCCGUUCUUAGUUGGUGAAGUGAUUUGUCUGGUUAAUUCCGUUAACGAACGAGACCUCCGCGUGCUAACUAGUUCCGUUUACAAUUUUGGGAGGCGUGUGGACUUUUAGAUAGACUUUGGGUAAUUAAACCAAAGGAAGUUGAAUGCAAUAACAGGUCUAUGAUGCUCUUAAGAUGUUUUGGGACGCACGCGCGCUACACUGAUGCGUUCAACGAGCAUACAACCUUGAUCGAUAAGUCUGGGUAAUCUUCUGAAUGCGCAUCGUGAUAGGGAUAGACUGUUGCAAUUUUAAGUCUUGAACGAGGAAUUCUUAGUAAAUACAAGUCAUCAGCUUGUGUUGAUUACGUUCCUGCCCUGUGUACACACCGCCCGUCGCACCUACCGAUUGAAUGCUACGGUGAAAAUUAUAUGGCUACAAGGACGCUUGCUUCAUUGCGAGCGGACAUACUGGGGAAGGUAGUUUAAUCCUUGCCAUUUAGAGAAAGGUGAAGUCGUAACAAGGUUUUUUUGUAGGUGAACCUGUGGAAG
rnacentral:rRNA from 1 species